rnacentral:rRNA from 1 species
GUAGGUGGCGAGCGUUGUCCGGAAUUAUUGGGCGUAAAGCGCGCGCAGGCGGGUUCUUUAAGUCUGAUGUGAAAGCCCACGGGCUCAACCGUGGAGGGUCAUUGGAAACUGGAGAACUUGAGUACAGAAGAGGAAAGCGGAAUUCCACGUGUAGCGGUGAAAUGCGUAGAGAUGUGGAGGAACACCAGUGGCGAAGGCGGCUUUCUGGUCUGUAACUGACGCUGAGGCGCGAAAGCGUGGGGAGCAAACAGGAUUAGAUACCCUGGUAGUCCACGCCGUAAACGAUGAGUGCUAAGUGUUAGGGGGUUUCCGCCCCUUAGUGCUGCAGCUAACGCAUUAAGCACUCCGCCUGGGGAGUACGACCGCAAGGUUG